AGAACGACAGGUUGGACACUGUAACUCUGGCCCAGAACGACAGGUUGGACUCUGUAACUCUGGCCCAGAACGACAGGUUGGACUCUGUAACUCUGGCCCAGAACGACAGGUUGGACUCUGUAACUCUGGCCCAGAACGACAGGUUGGACUCUGUAACUCUGGCCCAGAACGACAGGUUGGACACUAUAACUCUGGCCCAGAACGACAGGUUGCACACUGUAACUCUGGCCCAGAACGACAGGUUGGACACUGUAACUCUGGCCCAGAACGACAGGUUACACACUUUUACUCCAGCACAGUACUACAUGUUGCACACUAUAACUCUGGCCCAGA